ACCAGAUGAAACAAAUGGGUCAAAUUGUUAUGUUGAACAACAAUUACUCGAAACCCGACCCCAAUGCCCCACCCAAGCGUGGACGUGGACGUCCACCUAAACCCAAGGUUCCUCUUCCACCUGGCGUCGUCGUCUCUCCUCCCAGACCUCGUGGUCGUCCGCCUAAGCCGAAGGACUUAUUGGCUCCCCCCAAGCCCAAACCCGUCAGCACCGGAAGGCCGCGUGGGCGCCCCCCUAAGAAGGCCAAGACUGGUACCGCCACCGCUCCACCAC
rnacentral:lncRNA from 1 species